rnacentral:rRNA from 1 species
AGUCGAGCGGAACGAGUUAUCUGAACCUUCGGGGAACGAUAACGGCGUCGAGCGGCGGACGGGUGAGUAAUGCCUAGGAAAUUGCCUUGAUGUGGGGGAUAACCAUUGGAAACGAUGGCUAAUACCGCAUAAUGCCUACGGGCCAAAGAGGGGGACCUUCGGGCCUCUCGCGUCAAGAUAUGCCUAGGUGGGAUUAGCUAGUUGGUGAGGUAAUGGCUCACCAAGGCGACGAUCCCUAGCUGGUCUGAGAGGAUGAUCAGCCACACUGGAACUGAGACACGGUCCAGACUCCUACGGGAGGCAGCAGUGGGGAAUAUUGCACAAUGGGCGAAAGCCUGAUGCAGCCAUGCCGCGUGUAUGAAGAAGGCCUUCGGGUUGUAAAGUACUUUCAGUUGUGAGGAAGGGGGUGUCGUUAAUAGCGGCAUCUCUUGACGUUAGCAACAGAAGAAGCACCGGCUAACUCCGUGCCAGCAGCCGCGGUAAUACGGAGGGUGCGAGCGUUAAUCGGAAUUACUGGGCGUAAAGCGCAUGCAGGUGGUUCAUUAAGUCAGAUGUGAAAGCCCGGGGCUCAACCUCGGAACUGCAUUUGAAACUGGUGAACUAGAGUACUGUAGAGGGGGGNUAGAAUUUCAGGUGUAGCGGUGAAAUGCGUAGAGAUCUGAAGGAAUACCAGUGGCGAAGNCGGCCCCCUGGACAGAUACUGACACUCAGAUGCGAAAGCGUGGGGNGCAAACANGAUUAGAUACCCUGGUAGUCCACGCC